UACGUAGGGUGCAAGCGUUGUCCGGAAUUAUUGGGCGGAAAGAGCUUGUAGGCGGUUUGUCGCGUCUGCUGUGAAAUUUCGGGGCUCAACCCCGAACUUGCAGUGGGUACGGGCAGACUAGAGUGUGGUAGGGGAGACUGGAAUUCCUGGUGUAGCGGUGAAAUGCGCAGAUAUCAGGAGGAACACCGAUGGCGAAGGCAGGUCUCUGGACAGUUCCUGACGCUGAGGCACGAAGGUCAGGGGAGCAAACGGG
rnacentral:rRNA from 1 species